rnacentral:rRNA from 1 species
AGACCCGAAACCCGGUGAUCUAGCCAUGGGCAGGUUGAAGGUUGGGUAACACUAACUGGAGGACCGAACCGACUAAUGUUGAAAAAUUAGCGGAUGACCUGUGGCUGGGGGUGAAAGGCCAAUCAAACCGGGAGAUAGCUGGUUCUCCCCGAAAGCUAUUUAGGUAGCGCCUCGUGAAUUCAUCUCCGGGGGUAGAGCACUGUUUCGGCUAGGGGGCCAUCCCGGCUUACCAACCCGAUGCAAACUGCGAAUACCGGAGAAUGUUAUCACGGGAGACACACGGCGGGUGCUAACGUCCGUCGUGAAGAGGGAAACAACCCAGACCGCCAGCUAAGGUCCCAAAGUCAUGGUUAAGUGGGAAACGAUGUGGGAAGGCCCAGACAGCCAGGAUGUUGGCUUAGAAGCAGCCAUCAUUUAAAGAAAGCGUAAUAGCUCACUGGUCGAGUCGGCCUGCGCGGAAGAUGUAACGGGGCUAAACCAUGCACCGAAGCUGCGGCAGCGAACGUAUCACCCAAGACAACUUUGCACAGUUGACGAUUGGCGGAGCGAAGCGACGUCAAAGCGUUUUACAACGUCGAGUUGGCUUAGGGAUACGUUCGUUGGGUAGGGGAGCGUUCUGUAAGCCUGUGAAGGUGGCCUGUGAGGG